ACUAUUUAAUCUAUAAAUAUAUGCAUAAGAUCUGAUCUUAAAACUCUUACAAAUAGAUUUAUAAUAUUAAUUUAUAUGCAUAAAAAUCCGAAUCUAAUAUUAUAAGUAUUUGAACAAGAACAGCAAUUAGUGAUAGAUCUAAUCUACCACUUCUAGGAUUCCAAAUCCAAUACAUGAGCAUGGAUAGUAGAUCUCUAUAAUUGAGAAUUUAGAUUUGAAAGUCUUCUUUGAUUGUUUGUAGCCGCAC
rnacentral:lncRNA from 1 species